rnacentral:rRNA from 1 species
AGAGUUUGAUCCUGGCUCAAGACGAACGCUGGCGGCGCGCCUAACACAUGCAAGUCGAACGGAGCUUAGAGAGCUUGCUUUUUAAGCUUAGUGGCGAACGGGUGAGUAACGCGUGAGUAACCUGCCCUAGAGUGGGGGACAACAGUUGGAAACGACUGCUAAUACCGCAUAAGCCCACGGUACCGCAUGGCACUGAGGGAAAAGGAUUUAUUCGCUUUAGGAUGGACUCGCGUCCAAUUAGCUAGUUGGUGAGGUAACGGCCCACCAAGGCGACGAUUGGUAGCCGGACUGAGAGGUUGAACGGCCACAUUGGGACUGAGACACGGCCCACACUCCUACGGGAGGCAGCAGUGGGGGAUAUUGCACAAUGGGGGAAACCCUGAUGCAGCGACGCCGCGUGGAGGAAGAAGGUUUUCGGAUUGUAAACUCCUGUCGUUAGGGACGAUAAUGACGGUACCUAACAAGAAAGCACCGGCUAACUACGUGCCAGCAGCCGCGGUAAAACGUAGGGUGCAAGCGUUGUCCGGAAUUACUGGGUGUAAAGGGAGCGCAGGCGGGAAGACAAGUUGGAAGUGAAAACCAUGGGCUCAACCCAUGAAUUGCUUUCAAAACUGUUUUUCUUGAGUAGUGCAGAGGUAGAUGGAAUUCCCGGUGUAGCGGUGGAAUGCGUAGAUAUCGGGAGGAACACCAGUGGCCUAGGCGGUCUACUGGGCACCAACUGACGCUGAGGCUCGAAAGCAUGGGUAGCAAACAGGAUUAGAUACCCUGGUAGUCCAUGCCGUAAACGAUGAUUACUAGGUGUUGGGGGAUUGACCCCCUCAGGUGCCGCAGUUAACACAAUAAGUAAUCCACCUGGGGAGUACGACCGCAAGGUUGAAACUCAAAGGAAUUGACGGGGGCCCGCACAAGCAGUGGAGUAUGUGGUUUAAUUCGAAGCAACGCGAAGAACCUUACCAGGUCUUGACAUCCGAUGCAUAGCACAGAGAUGUGUGAAAUCCUUCGGGACAUCGAGACAGGUGGUGCAUGGUUGUCGUCAGCUCGUGUCGUGAGAUGUUGGGUUAAGUCCCGCAACGAGCGCAACCCUUAUUGCCAGUUACUACGUUAAGAGGACUCUGGCGAGACUGACGUUGACAAAACGGAGGAAGGUGGGGAUGACGUCAAAUCAUCAUGCCCUUUAUGACCUGGGCUACACACGUACUACAAUGGCGUUAAACAAAGAGAAGCAAGACCGCGAGGUGGAGCAAAACUCAAAAACAACGUCUCAGUUCAGAUUGCAGGCUGCAACUCGCCUGCAUGAAGUCGGAAUUGCUAGUAAUCGCGGAUCAGCAUGCCGCGGUGAAUACGUUCCCGGGCCUUGCACA